UACGGGGGGAGCAAGCGUUGUUCGGAAUUACUGGGCGUAAAGGGCUCGUAGGUGGCCAACUAAGUCAGACGUGAAAUCCCUCAGCUUAACUGGGGAACUGCGUCUGAUACUGGAUGGCUUGAGUUUGGGAGAGGGAUGCGGAAUUCCAGGUGUAGCGGUGAAAUGCGUAGAUAUCUGGAGGAACACCGGUGGCGAAGGCGGCAUCCUGGACCAACACUGACGCUGAGUGAGCGAAAGCCAGGGGAGCAAACGGG
rnacentral:rRNA from 1 species